CAGCAUGGGGAAUAUUGCACAAUGGGGAAACCCUGAUGCAGCCAUGCCGCGUGUGUGAAGAAGGCCUUCGGGUUGUAAAGCACUUUCAGUAGGGAGGAAGGUAGUGUAGUUAACACCUGCAUUAUUUGACGUUACCUACAGAAGAAGCACCGGCUAACUCCGUGCCAGCAGCCGCGGUAAUACGGAGGGUGCGAGCGUUAAUCGGAAUUACUGGGCGUAAAGCGCAUGCAGGCGGCCUGUUAAGUCAGAUGUGAAAGCCCGGGGCUUAACCUCGGAAUUGCAUUUGAAACUGGCAGGCUAGAGUCUUGUAGAGGGGGGUAGGAAUUUCAGGUGUAGCGGUGAAAUGCGUAGAGAUCUGAAGGAAUACCAGUGGCGAAGGCGGCCCCCUGGACAAAGACUGACGCUCAGAUGCGAAAGCGUGGGGAGCAAACAGGAUUAGAUACCCUGGUAG
rnacentral:rRNA from 1 species